rnacentral:rRNA from 1 species
GAUGAACGCUGGCGGCGUGCCUAAUACAUGCAAGUCGAGCGAACAGACGAGGAGCUUGCUCCUCUGACGUUAGCGGCGGACGGGUGAGUAACACGUGGGUAACCUACCUAUAAGACUGGGAUAACUUCGGGAAACCGGAGUUAAUACCGGAUAAUAUAUUGAACCGCAUGGUUCAAUAGUGAAAGACGGUUUUGCUGUCACUUAUAGAUGGAUCCGCGCCGCAUUAGCUAGUUGGUAAGGUAACGGCUUACCAAGGCAACGAUGCGUAGCCGACCGGAGAGGGUGAUCGGCCACACUGGAACUGAGACACGGUCCAGACUCCUACGGGAGGCAGCAGUAGGGAAUCUUCCGCAAUGGGCGAAAGCCUGACGGAGCAACGCCGCGUGAGUGAUGAAGGUCUUCGGAUCGUAAAACUCUGUUAUUAGGGAAGAACAAAUGUGUAAGUAACUAUGCACGUCUUGACGGUACCUAAUCAGAAAGCCACGGCUAACUACGUGCCAGCCGCCGCAGUAA